rnacentral:rRNA from 1 species
CAGCACCUCAAGUGGUCAGGAUGAUUAUUGGGCCUAAAGGAUCCGUAGCCGGCUCUGUAAGUUUUCGGUUAAAUCUGUACGCUCAACGUACAGGCUGCCGGGAAUACUGCAGAGCUAGGGAGUGGGAGAGGUAGACGGUACUCGGUAGGAAGGGGUAAAAUCCUUUGAUCUAUUGAUGACCACCUGUGGCGAAGGCGGUCUACCAGAACACGUCCGACGGUGAGGGAUGAAAGCUGGGGGAGCAAACCGGAUUAGAUACCCGAGUAGUCC